AUGUACAACUUGGCCCUAGAGAUAGAUGAAGAGGGAAGCAACGGCGUCGAGUAUCGCUGCUCGCCUCGGAUGCAAUGCAAUGCAAGUGGUCAACUGUUUCCUCCUCUAGAGACCUGUCUUGUUUUGAAGAGACUGAAAAUUUCAAGAGCAGAAUCUUUUGCACAGGACUUGAGAGUUCGUGGUGUCUCGCCUGGACGUAGCGAGCGGGCUUUUGGGCCCGCUCGUGGACCGACCAGGACCGGACCGAUCGGUCCCGGCCCGCUAGGAAAACUGGCCGGACGCACCGCACCGCCGCCACUCCUUCCAGCAUCCACCAGGACGCACCGCGCUGCCGCCGCUCCUUCCACCAGCAGCGGACUGGACUACCGCUCCGACAGCCUGGGCCUACAUGGCAGUGACUUUGUGUUGAGUAAAAGGAUCGGGCUUGCUUCAAACAAGGUGAUCAGCAUAAGAAAUAAUGAAUGCAAGCCUGAAAUAUCCAGUGUAUGUUCAAGCCAAGAAGGAGAUGGUUGUACCAAGGUGAAGACAACCAAAACUACGCCGACGGCUGGCGGCCGAGACGGAGGCAAGGAGGGAAAUGUGAGAUGGCGGGGCAUAAUCGGGGAGGUCACGGACCCCGGCCGCCACCGGCGGAUUGGACGAGGUCGAGGUCGAAAACUCAGCGCGUGGAUCAUGCCGAGGGAGUUCAACCCGUGCAGCGGCGGGCUUACGCUCUUCAAGGGGCGGCAGGGGCGACCGAGGGCGCAGCAGCUGCCGCAGCCGCCAAAGCCGAAGUUGCUCCGCCGCACAUUCGGUAGGAUGAUGAACAACUGGUGCCGGUGCCGCCACAACGCCAACUGCUGCAGCUCCGUGCGUGCAGUAUUUUGGCCGCUCAUGUCCAUGGGGUCCGACGUCAACUGCGGCGACAUCGCCGACCGACCCCGCGGAGGUCCUUGGCGGUCAGCGGCUGCACUGCAAUGCGCGUGCUAUCGUCGUCCCUUGAUACGUCCAGCGCCGCAUCGAGCACAACCGUACGGUUGCUCGCGGUCCAGGCUCAGAUUAGCAAGGCCACCGCAUCGACGUCUCCUGACAAGAAGAACAACUCGGCAUUUGGCGCCGUGCAUGCCUCGUCGCCGACUCGGAAGCCUCGGUGACGAUGACGGCCACACGGGUACUCUCGCUGCAGGCCCGGCUAGGCUUGGCCGUGCGACGUUGCCGCCGCCUGUGGUGAUGCUGGUGGAGGAGGCCAAGGUGGGAGACCUGACACCGAGGAGUGGCUCUGCUACUGGGAGAAGCUCAGGUCACAACGGGAACACCACGCCCCCGCGGCCUGAUUAUGUCGCCGGCGCCACGUUCAUGGCCUCCACGCGUGGCUCCCAAUGGAGGCGGCGCCAGCGAAGAUGGGAGGCCGACAGGGAACUAUGGCAAGCACAUGCCGACGACGAAGAUGGGCAUCGGCGCCGCUGA
rnacentral:rRNA from 1 species